ACUUACGGCCAUACCAUCCUGAAUACGCCUGAUCUCGUCUGAUCUCGGAAGCUAAGCAGGGUCGGGCCUGGUUAGGACUUGGAUGGGUGACCGCCUGGGAAUGCCAGGUGCUGUAAGUG
rnacentral:rRNA from 1 species